rnacentral:rRNA from 1 species
UACGAAGGGGGCUAGCGUUGCUCGGAAUCACUGGGCGUAAAGCGCACGUAGGCGGCUCUCUAAGUCAGGGGUGAAAUCCCGGAGCUCAACUCCAGAACUGCCUUUGAUACUGGAGAGCUUGAGUCCGGAAGAGGUGAGUGGAACUCCGAGUGUAGAGGUGAAAUUCGUAGAUAUUCGGAAGAACACCAGUGGCGAAGGCGGCUCACUGGUCCGGUACUGACGCUGAGGUGCGAAAGCGUGGGGAGCAAACAGG